rnacentral:rRNA from 1 species
CCAAUAGCGUAUAUUAAAGUUGUUGCAGUUAAAAAGCUCGUAGUUGAAUUUCGGGGUUAGUAGGUUGGUCAUGCCUCUGGUAUGUACUGGUCUCACUGAUUCCUCCUUCCUGAUGAACCGUAAUGCCAUUAAUUUGGUGUUGCGGGGAAUUUGGACUGUUACUUUGAAAAAAUUAGAGUGUUUAAAGCAAGCUAACGCUUGAAUACAUUAGCAUGGAAUAAUGAAAUAGGACGUUCGAUCCUAUUUUGUUGGUUUCUAGGAUUGACGUAAUGAUUAAUAGGGAUAGUUGGGGGCAUUAGUAUUCAAUUGUCAGAGGUGAAAUUCUUAGAUUUAUUGAAAACUAACUACUGCGAAAGCAUUUGCCAAGGAUGUUUUCAUUAAUCAAGAACGAAAGUUAGGGGAUCGAAGACGAUCAGAUACCGUCGUAGUCUUAACCAUAAACUAUGCCGACUAGGGAUCGGAUGAUGUUAAUUUUUUAAUGACUCAUUCGGCGCCUUACG